AUGUCCACCGACCCCGACCGUGCCGCCGCCGAGAAAGCUGAAGCCGACAAGAAGGCCGCCGAGGACGCCGCUACUGCCACCAAAGCCGCGGCCUCUGCAUGGCCUACUGGAGGGUAUAACUCGUUUAUCCCGCUCCUGAUUAAUUUCAUAUUAGCAGUACUAGCAAGAGCGGCACCUGAUGGCUAUGGUGGCUUCCAGGGUCCUGUCGAAGGUUUCGUGAAGGGAACUGCUGGCCCGCGGCAGUACCAGCCACGUCGGGGUGGUCCGGCAGGCAAGGGCGACCGAUUCGGGAGGACUGGGGGCCGGAACACACGCCCACCGAGGAGGGAUCCUCCAUCGUGGUGUGUUCCGGCGUUGGUGACUCCGUCAGCAGUGGUGGAUCCAAGUUUGCAGCCAUCGGUGGUCGCGGCAUCAACAGGGCCUCAGCCGGCAGUGGUGGUGCCCGCGGUUGGUGCAACUGCUGCGGGUUCGACAACUGCUACAAGCUCGACGGCAGUGACGGUGACGUCUGUUGAUGGCGCGGCAAGGCUGCCGGGGGAGGCCAUUGUUGCGGUGGCUGCCCUUGCUGCCGUUCCAGUCAAAAAGAAGCCAAAACAUGACACGGAGUGUCCGCUUUUGUCUGUACCGGUGCCGACGGUAUCUAUUUAUGGAGUGUGUGAUGCUGCACUCAUGUUCUUCGAGACGCCUGUGAUGCAUUCUUGCAGGCCUCAUCUGGAGAAUGCUAGGACGGGCUUGAUUAGAGUCACACAUGGUACAUUGGCUGAGGAUCAGAUUAUUGCUCAACUUAGACGGCUGGUAUCGAGUUCUUUUCAGUGGGCUCUAGAGAGGAUUGGAGAUCAAGUGUACAAGGUUGAUUACCCGACUAAGGUUGAUCUAGAUAGGAUCAACAACUUUGGCAUUUGCAAGGUUCCUGGCAGCUCAUGUCGCCUUGAGUUUGAUGAGUGGAUACAAAACGAGCCGGCUGGGGUUCCUCUUACGAAAAUCUGGGUGAGACUCUCGGGAGUUCCUCCUAAACCACUUAAUGAGUAUCUUGUGGUGGUGAGUCUGGGCUCUCUGAUUAGUAAAACUCAGGAGGUGGACAUGGAUUUCACACGUAAGCAUGGGAUUGCACGGCUGCGAGUUGGGGUGAUUGAUGUGGAUUUGGUGCCUGCUAUGUUACCGUGGUUUUAUGAUGGUUUGGGAUAUGAUCUGAAACUAGAGAUUGAGGGUCAGCCUAUGGCUUUGGAUGAGGACAGAGCUAGCUUUGGAUGA
rnacentral:rRNA from 1 species